rnacentral:rRNA from 1 species
CCUACGGGAGACAGCAGUGGGGGAUAUUGCACAAUGGGGGAAACCCUGAUGCAGCGACGCCGCGUGGGUGAAGAAGCGCCUCGGCGCGUAAAGCCCUGUCAGCAGGGAAGAAAAUGACGGUACCUGAAGAAGAAGCCCCGGCUAACUACGUGCCAGCAGCCGCGGUAAUACGGAGGGGGCAAGCGUUAUCCGGAUUUACUGGGUGUAAAGGGGGCGCAGACGGCGAUGCAAGCCAGGAGUGAAAGCCCGGGGCCCAACCCCGGGACUGCGCUUGGAACUGCGUGGCUAGAGUGCAGGAGGGGCAGGCGGAAUUCCGGGUGUAGCGGUGAAAUGCGUAGAUAUCAGGAGGAACGCCGGUGGCGAGGGCGGCCUGCUGGACGGCAACUGACGUUGAGGCCCGAAAGCGUGGGGAGCAAACAGGAUUAGAUACCCUUGUAGUG